CAGAGCCGCGGGCAGCGCCGGGGCUGCAGAGCCACAGCCCGCCGGCACCGCUCCCACCGCCUCCUCCGCUCCGCUCCUCACGAUGCCGAGCUUCCUGAAGUGGCUGCUGGUGACCGUGGGGGUCGCCGUCGCGGUCGUGGCGAUCACCGUGCCCCUGGUGCUGCUCACCGGCAAAAGUCCCUCUAAGCCUGAUUCACGAAAAACGUACACUCUACAGAAUUACUUGAACAACGACUAUUCAUACAAACCAUAUGAUCUACAGUGGAUUUCAGGAAAUCAGUAUCUCCAUGAAACAAAUAAUGGGAACAUCCUACUUAUCAGUGCUGACAAUGGAACAUCAUCAGUAAUCUUGGCGAAUACAACAUUAGAUAAGUACAAGGCAAGCACAGCUAUAUUGUCUCCUGACCAUAAGUUUGCUCUUCUGCGGUACAGCUAUAGAAAGUUGUGGAGGUAUUCCUUUACAGCUUCAUAUCACAUCUAUGAUUUCAGUAGCAGCUCUAUUCUAGAUGAUGGACUACUACCUAAUGAUACACAAUAUCUAUCCUGGUCACCUGUUGGUCACAAACUGGCAUAUGUUUGGAAAAAUAAUGUUUAUGUAAAAGCUUCACCAACAUCAGCAGCUGUGCCAGUCACUCAAAAUGGAGAAGAAAAUAAAAUUUUCAAUGGAAUACCAGAUUGGGUUUAUGAAGAGGAAAUGUUUGGCACCAGUUCUGCUCUGUGGUGGUCUCCAAAUGGCAAUUUUUUGGCAUAUGCAGCCUUUGAUGAUACAGAAGUUCCUGUUAUAGAGUAUUCCUUUUAUUCUGACGACACCUUGCAGUAUCCAAAGACCAUCAGAAUCCCAUAUCCCAAGGCAGGAGCUCCAAAUCCAACUGUGCGAUUCUUUAUUGUGGAUACUGAGUCAUUACCAAAUUCCACCCCUGUUGAAAUUACUCCACCUGCAGAAAUAAAAUCAGGAGACCAUUAUUUGAGUGCUGUAACAUGGGUGACAGAUGAAAGGAUUUGUCUGCAGUGGCUCAGAAGAAUUCAGAAUUUUUCAGUCCUCACAGUCUGUGACUUUGAAAAUGCUAAUUGGUCAUGUCCACAGGGAAAACAACUUACGGAAGAAAGUACAACUGGCUGGAUUGGCAGAUUUCAGCCAUCUGUCCCUUACUUUGCACCCGACAAUGCUACCUACUACAAAGUCCUCAGCAACACAGCAGGUUACAAGCACAUCUAUUACAUAAAUGGCUCGCAGGAUCCAGUACCUAUUACUUCAGGGAAGUGGGAAGUAAUCAGCAUAGAAGCUGUAACAAAUGACUUUUUAUACUACAUUAGUAAUGAAUAUGGUGGAAAACCAGGAGGAAGAAAUCUCUAUAAAGUGCUCUUGGAAAGCAGUCCAAGUUCUACUAAAUGUGUUAGCUGUGAUCUGAAUCAAGAAAGAUGCCAGUAUUAUUCUGUGUCCUUCAGCAAAGACGCACAGUAUUAUCAGCUAAAUUGUCUUGGUCCUGGCCUGCCCAUAUCUACUCUGCACAGAAGCAGUGAUGAUCAAGUCCUCAGAUACUUGAAAAAUAAUACUGAACUGGAAAAUGCAUUGAAAGAUAUUCAGAUGCCUUCAAAAAAAUUUGGCUCCCUUAGUGUAGGUGGAUACAGGCUAAAGAUGAAAUCUUCCAGGCAAGAUGGAGAUUUAAAGAUGUUCUUCGUGCUAUCAGUUGUAUAUUCACUUUUUUUAUUCCUCUUUGUUCUUACUACUUCAUGUCUUCAGGGUAAAAGCUUUUGGACCUGUGGUAUGAAAUGUUACUGCCUCCCCAUUUUGAUUCAUCAAAGAAGUACCCUCUGCUCCUUGAGGUAUAUGCAGGGCCUUGUAGUCAGAAAGUGGACUAUACCUUCGACCUCAGCUGGGCUACCUACCUUGCAAGCACCGAGCAGAUCAUCGUGGCCAGCUUCGAUGGCAGAGGAAGUGGAUACCAAGGGGAUGAAAUUAUGCAUGCAAUAAACCGAAGGCUGGGAACAUAUGAAGUGGAAGAUCAGAUAACAGCAGCCAGAAAAUUUUCAGAAAUGAGCUUUGUUGAUAAGGACAGAAUAGCUAUUUGGGGUUGGUCUUAUGGGGGAUAUGUGACCUCCAUGGUGCUUGGCUCUGGAAGCGGCGUGUUCAAGUGUGGAAUAGCGGUUGCCCCCGUGUCACAUUGGCAAUAUUAUGAUUCAAUAUACACAGAGAGAUACAUGGGCCUUCCUACAGCAAGUGAUAAUCUGCAAAACUAUUAUAAUUCAACAGUAAUGGCCAGAGCUGAAAAAUUCAAAGAAGUUGAAUAUCUCCUUAUUCAUGGAACAGCAGAUGAUAAUGUUCACUUUCAGCAAGCAGCACAGAUUUCCAAAGCUCUUGUUGAUGCCGAAGUGGAUUUUCAGGCAAUGUGGUAUACUGACAAAGACCAUGCCAUCUCCGGUCAAGCACAUAAGCAUAUUUAUACCCACAUGAGCCACUUCAUAAAGCAGUGUUUCUUGCUGCCCUAGAACCAGCAUUUUGCUUGUUAGUGAUGGUACUUCUCCAGAAAAAAACUGUAGAUCAUGUACUCUGAGCCAGUAUAAAUCAAGAUGAGAUAAAAGUUAGCUCUUGGGAUACCAGUGUACACAAUGAAAUGCAUAUCUUUAUGAUUUCUGUUGCCAAGCAACUACUGCAUUUUUAUUGAUUAAUCAGGUCUUAGCAUCACCAGAAUGAUGUUGCAGACUUCUAGGAAGCAUGGUACUUCCUUGAGUUUUUUAUUAGUUUUUGACAUUUCAGUCUAAAUGAGAAGUCAUGCAGUUUGUGUAUUAUGGUAAUGAAUGAUAAAAAUGCCAGAGAGGAACCAACAUGGAAAUCAGUUGCAGAAUAUAAGUAAAGAUGUUUCCAUCAAAAGUGAGAUGUACCCUGGGAUCAUUUCUGUGAAAACACUGACAAAAAAUUUUGAAGGAAUUCUGUAAGGCUUGAUAAUUAUUAUUUUAGAAUCAUCAUCAGGAAUACUGUGAUGUUAAUAUUUUCUGUGCAGAAUGAAAGGCUGUUUUUACUGCUGUUCCUUAAAUUACUGUCUUCUCUGCAAUCUCUUGGAUUACAAUUGUAGAAGUCUUGCAAGGAAAGCAUGUAUCCAGCUUUCAUCAAACAUUUUGAAUGAUACCUACUCAAACCAAUGUCACUGCAUUUCUCUGUUUGCUAUUAUUAUAUAGAAUUGUGAUUUUUUCUUAUUUUUAUAGUAAAAAAGGCUGCUACUGUGGGAAUCUGCUCUAGUAGAAUCUUCCCUGGGAAAUCUAAUGUAGAAGUUUCUUAUUUACUGAUGAAUAGGAUCUGUUCCUUACACUCAAACAUAAAACAUUACAAUGAAAAAUAGUAGUCACUUAAAGCAAGGGCUGGACCAUCACUCUUCUGUGAACAUGCUCUUUGGCAAACCUGCUUUUCCUUACAGCCUACCAGCAAAUGUCUGCGUUAUCUCCAGCAUACCCGGUAGGCUUCUCCAUCUGAGGAUAAGAUUACUUUUCUCAAUUUCACACAGCUAGAAAAGAUGCAACCCACUUGUACUAAAAAUUGUUCUGCUUUAAAAUAAUAAAGACAUUAAGUCAUUAAAGAAGGUGUAGUCCAUAUAAUUGAAAAUAUUGCUUUAGAAAAAAAACCUCGUAGAGUUUUUACAAAAAUCCCCAUUAAUUUUAAGGAAGACUUACAGUGAAGCUUCUGCUUUUGUGUAAUGGUAUCAUGUAAUGGAGUGUGACAUGAUUAUCUAACACUUAACUUCUUGAUAUUACAUGCCAGCAUGUGAUUAUAUCUGUAUUGUGGGUUAUUAGUGGCAUUAGGUGUGAACGUAAAAGUACUCAUGCAGACAGCUAAAGCGUGGGGGAGAAUGUUAAGACACUUCGUGCAGCUUAUCCUUAAAUGAUAAAAGAGAAAGGAGGCUGAGGUACAAAAUAAGGGGGUUUUUUUCACAAACAAACCACCAAUCACUUGACCCACAAAAUAAGGUGUUGGGGUUUUUUUUGAAACACAUUGGAGCUAGCUGGGUUUUACAAAUACCAUCUUGGGUUCAAGGCAGGAGUGGUUCUAAUAUAGACUGGCACCACUAUUAAAGUUCUGUAGGAGUACAGGCUGUCAGUUGUCUCCAAGAGGUUAUAAUAUCACAUCUCUCAUUCUUUUGACUCAAGGGAAAGAAACAUAAAUCAGUAUAAGGUAGAUCACAGCAAUACACAGGUUAUAAAAAAAGAUUAUCAUUAUGAAUUUAAAGAUGGCUUGUGUACACAAGGGUAAUAGUUGGGAUUUAUUUUAAUAUUAUCACUCACAGUGUCAUAAAGACAAAAACCGUAUUUCUGUAAUCCAAAAAACUACUUUAACUAGGCUCUCAUUAAAUAACUGCAAGUAUUAGUGUAAUCAGAGAAGGAUUUUUAAAAAAAAUAACUAGAAAUUAUAUGGUCUGGGUAAGUCUUUCACUAAGUAAAGAUGCAAUUCUUUGCAUCUGACGUACCUUAAUGAUGCUAGCAUCUCGCUGGGAAGCUCUUCUGUACUCUUAUUACUCUUUAACUGUCUUAUCUACAAGCCAUAACAAAAUACAAUGCUAAUUAUCUUAAAUUUCUUUGUCUGGAAAGCAACUUAUAUCCUGCUGAUAGAGAAUGAUGCAACUUUUAAAACAAACAAAAAAAGGUUUUAUUGCUGUAAUAAGUGUCCUA